rnacentral:lncRNA from 10 species
GAAAGAAUUCAGAGGAGAGCAGCUAGAACAGGAGGGUAUUUCAAGAUGGGAAGGUUGAGCAAGACAGGUUUGGAGAAAGGUACAGGCUGUGAGGAAAAUGUUCUGUGAAAUGGAGGAUAACGAUGCCUAUUUCACAGGGCAAUUGACAGGAUUAAAAGUGAUAAUGUACUAGCAAAUUCUCUACAAAUGCAAGGCAUCGUUAUUAAAAUUGAAGGCCUGUCAUGCAGAAGAGGUUUUGGAUGCAUUCUGUGUGGCCCCAAGAGGUAGAGGCAGAACUAAGAGCUACAGCAUUUCUGUUCAAAGUGGAGAAGGACUGUCCACAGAUGGAAGAGGCGGGCUGUUUGGUGAACUGACUUCGUCAAAUCUGGACAGGAGGCCCAGGUGGUGAAGGGCAAUGAAAGAAGCUGAGAAGACCAGGCAUGUGAGUAUGUGUAAGUAUGUGCAAGAGCCGUGGCCUAUCCCCAUUCAUUCAUUCACGAAGCUGAGAGGAGGAGGAAGUGCUGCUGUAUCUUUGGCACACAGUUUCAGCUGAUGACAACCAGUUUGAAGACCCCCAAAAGAAGAACCAAACUGCAUGAGAAUUCAGUUUCUUCAUCUCCCUACCCCAUGAUUUCACCUUGUUCUCUCUGACCAAUAACCAUCUCCCCACUUUGGCCCUCUCCAAAACCCUUAAAAAUUCUAAGCCCAAACUCCCCAGGGAGACAGAUUUGAGGUUUCCUCCCAUCUCCUCAUUCAAUGGCUCUGCAAUUAAACCUGUUUCUCUGCCGCAGCCUGGUAUCUCAGCAUAUUGACUUGCCACGUGCAUCAAGCAACAAACCUUUUACUGUUAUACUACUCAAAAUAUGCCUCUUUGGAAUGAGGACUAUUUUGAGCUGGUUAUUUAGAGAAACUGCAGACACACACAAAAAAACUCUGAAAUGAAGAGUAGAAGUUACCCUAUUGUAAGAGAAAUUUACAACUAUAAAGGAAAUCUCCAUUUAUAAGGGUGUUUCCCUCUCUCCAUCAGGAAGAGAAGGAUGACUAAAUCACUAGAAAAACCCAUCAAUGGAAAAAGCAUCAGUUUAAAUCUCCAUAACAAAUCUUACUCUUGUUU